UACGGAGGAUGCGAGCGUUAUCCGGAUUUAUUGGGUUUAAAGGGUGCGUAGGCGGGUUAUCAAGUCAGCGGUAAAAUUGCGGGGCUCAACCCCGUACUGCCGUUGAAACUGAUGAUCUUGAGUGGGCGAGAAGUAUGCGGAAUGCGUGGUGUAGCGGUGAAAUGCAUAGAUAUCACGCAGAACUCCGAUUGCGAAGGCAGCAUACCGGCGCCCGACUGACGCUGAUGCACGAAAGCGUGGGUAUCAAACAGG
rnacentral:rRNA from 1 species